GGAGAAGAGGGGUGGGAGUCACGGCCAGGCAGGCCCUCAGGCGGGAAGGGAUGCGCGCCUGCGAUUCCGGGACGUACCGCGCCAGCCCAGGAGAACCCGGAAGCCAGCAGCUCUUGUUUCUCUGUGUGUUUCUGUGAGGAACCACCAAAUUGUUUUCCACGACUCGAAUCAGGCCGUCCUCCCUCCUGCGCCUGAGGCUGUCAUGGGGACAGCCUGCCCUCGAAUAGCCGGAGAACGCCCGGCCUGUGCCCUGUGCUCGGCCUGGUGUCCUGGCUCGUGCCCCUCAGAGCCCCGCACAAAGCAGUGUGACAGGUGUGGAAGGACCCAGCACCAGGCAGCGGUGAGCGGAUGGAUGCUCCAGGGAUGUGGGGCUGCUGGCAGUCAAGAACCCAUUGCCAAAUUCCAUGGCAUAAUUUUGGAUAUUUUUCCCUUAUAUUUUUGUGUAAGACUUUCAGACUUACACAUUUUGAGUUUUUAAAAAAAUAUAGUAUAAACUACAAUUCUGACUUCUAUAUUUUACAUGUUGAUAGCAAAUCUUCAUACCUUUUUUGUGUUAAAGGGGGCUAUUAUUCCCUCUCCAUAGUUUGGCCUUUGCACCCUUGUUGAAGAUCAUUUUGACCAUAUAUACAAGGUUUUGUGGAGAGAGGGGUCUCUAUUAUUUUCUAUGUCUACACGUCUUGAUUUAAUACAUUUCUUUUUAGAUUUUCUCCUUUUUACUUUUUGAGACAGGUUCUCUGUCAUCCAGGCUGGGGUGCACUGGUGCGACCAUGGCUCACUGCAGACUUGCUCUCCCAGGCUUAAAAAAUCCUCUCACUUCAGCCUCUGGAAUAGCUGAGACUACAGGUUCAUGUCACAUUGCCAGGUUAAUUUUAAUUUUAAUUGUUUUUUUAGCGAUGGGUGUUCUCACUAGGAUGUCCAGUGUGGUUUGAACUCCUGGGUUCAAGCAAUCCUCCUACCUCAGCCUCACAAAGUGCUGAGGUUACACGUGUAAGCCAUAGAACCUGGCCUCAAAAUACCACAUUUGAAAAGAGUUCAACAGCACUGCAAUUAGUUUUUGAUUUAAAAAUUGUGAGGGUUCCACAAUUGACAUUAUUUUACAAGUUUAAUUGGCUAUUUUCAAUCUUG
rnacentral:lncRNA from 10 species